rnacentral:rRNA from 1 species
UACGAGGGGGGCGAGCGUUGUUCGGAAUUAUUGGGCGUAAAGGGUGCGUAGGCGGUUUGGUAAGUCUUGUGUGAAAUCUACAGGCUCAACUUGUAGUCUGCACGAGAAACUGCCGGGCUUGAGUAUGGGAGAGGUGAGUGGAAUUCCUGGUGUAGCGGUGAAAUGCGUAGAUAUCAGAGGAACACCUGUGGCGAAAGCGGCUCACUGGACCAUAACUGACGCUGAUGCACGAAAGCUAGGGGAGCAAACAGG